rnacentral:rRNA from 1 species
ACUCAAAUGAAUUGACGGGGACCCGCACAAGUGGUGGAUCAUGCGGUUUAAUUCGAUGCAACGCGAGAAACCUCACCUGGGCUUGAAAUGUAGCUGCAAGCUCUAGAGAUAGAGCCGCCUUCGAGGGUGCUAUGUAGGUGCUGCAUGGUUGUCGUCAGCUCGUGCCGUGAGGUGUACCCUUAAGUGGACUAACGAGCGCAACCCCUGUCGUGUGUUGUAUUUUCACACGAGACUGCCUCCGUAAGGAGGAGGAAGGAGGGGACGACGUCAAAUCAGCAUGGCCCUUACGUCCAGGGCGACACGCAUGAUACAAUGGUCGGUACAAAGGGUUGCCAAGUCGCGAGACGGAGCCAAUCCCAAAAAGCCGAUCUCAGUUCGGAUCGGAGUCUGCAACUCGACUCCGUGAAGCUGGAAUCACUAGUAAGCGUAGAUCAUCACGCUACGCUGAAUACGUUCUCGGGUCUUGUACACACCGCCCGU